UUCGGUCCCUAUCCGUCGCGGGCGUAGGAAAUUUGAGAGGAGCUGUCCUUAGUACGAGAGGACCGGGAUGGACGCACCGCUGGUGUACCAGUUGUCCCGCCAGGGGCACAGCUGGGUAGCUAUGUGCGGAAGGGAUAAGCGCUGAAAGCAUCUAAGCGUGAAGCCCCCCUCAAGAUGAGAUUUCCCAUCGCGUCAAGCGAGUAAGAUCCCUUGAAGAUGACAAGGUAGAUAGGUCCGAGGUGGAAGCGUGGCGACACGUGCAGCUGACGGAUACUAAUCGAUCGAGGACUUAACUAA
rnacentral:rRNA from 1 species